UCGCAACCACUGCGCCACCAGGGAAGCCCUGGGCACUCCUAUUUUUAUGCAGAAGAAAUCUGGCUAAAACGAUCCUCAGGAAUAGAGACCUUCUCUCUUCCUGUGCACUGGGAAGAGGACAGAGAGAAGGGUGAUGGGGAGUGUGUUAUGGUGAUUUUGUGAAGAAGUGAAUGGGGUGUGGGUUUAUCUUGAUGCAAGUGAGAAAGGAAAGGAAGAAAAAAAAAGUGCUCAACGACCAAGCUGGCGUUUGCAGUGAGUGCUGUGUAAGAGAGCUGCCUUUUUUUCUGGGCCGCCAGGCAGCUCUGGCUUUCUGUCCAAAGCAGUGAGAAUCCCACAAAGCAGAGGGUGGGACAAGGGACAGGUCUGCCCUUGGAGGGUGUCCUUAGGCACCAGUGCAGAGCCUUCUCACAUCCCCCUUCUCAGUGUUAGAGGUGGUGAGGUGUCAUGAGAUGUGCACUGGAAGCCUAGCCCGGUUCCACCCAUUGUCACGGUUCAGUUGGGGUGAGCCUGUCCCCCUCUCAGAGCCUUGGUCUUCUUCCUUAUACAGGAGGCAAGCGAGGUUGGUGUGGGCAUUGAGGAAGAACUUUGUGAACCUUAAAAUGCUAGAUAAUAUUGUAUCUUAGAGUCCUCCCCAGGACUGAACAGGAUGGUAGGUGGAGGCCCCGUCCUUUGGGGUUCUGGGGUGGCUCAUAGACUGUGUGAAAAGUAGUGCAGGUUUCAGCUGGGGAAGAUGAAGAAGUUCUGGAGACACAUGGUGGUGCUGGCUGCACAACAGUGUGAAUGUACUUAAUGCCGCUGAACGGUACACUUAAAAAUGGCCAAAAUGCUAAAUUUUAUGUUAUGUAUCUUUUACCACGAACGAAAAUCACAAGCACUUUCCCCCCAAAAACAAAAGAGUACGGAUACUGGACCAAGCUGAUAGUCAAGUAAAUUUGACACUCUGGGUGUUAACAGGGUGACUAUUGCACUUUGUGGUGAAUGCUCACUACUUACGAUCAUUGUGAGGAAUUAACCCUGUUUACUGGGACUCCAUUGAUACAAUAUAUUCUUAUUUCUUCUGGAAGGCCCUAGGAGCUCCCUUGGGAGGGGGUAAAACAGACCUCAGUCAUUGGAUUGAAAUGAACUGUAAACCGUGCUUAGUAACAGAUGACCUGAGAUCACCUCGCUGGUUCUACCUGUGCCCUCAAGGUUAUGCUCCCUCCUCAACUCUAGUCUUUCCUCUUUCUUCCUUCCUUUUGGUUCACAGUUUACUCUUUAUCCCAGGAGGUCAGGGGGGACAUGGGUUUGCAUCGACAGAACACAAGUAUGUGAGUGUCAUGUGGCCUCAUGCACGUCAUUAAAAAUGUCCUGUACUAUCACGGACCCCAGUCCUCUGGCCCAGACUUUGCUCCUAGAAGUGAGAGCUGUUUGCACAUAUCCCAGAGCAUUUCAUUCUCCAGGCCGGUGGGCAUCUGCAUCAAAACCUCACAGCAUCACCUCCCAAUUUUCUCCUUUCUCUAGCUGCUUCUGAAGAUCAGAACCACAGGCACUGCCUGGUGGCCUCUCUGUUUCUGAGGAGUCCCCUACAGAAAAUAACCCAGAAAGGGGCUGAAAGAUGGAUGUCUUUUGGAUUGAGAAAUUGUUUCAUUGUAGCAUGAAAUCAAAUGUUUGAAGUUUUGUGUUCAUAUAUUAGGACCUGUCUCGUGCCUACCCCCCAUCAUCUCUGAUAACGAUGCAGAGCCCUGUUGAAUGCAGAGCUGCCUGUGGUGCCUGACGAUCUGAGUCGUGCACAGAGCCGGACAUGGCUCUCAGGGGUGAUGGCUGCGUGAGUUCCUGCCUUCAGGGCAGACAGCCCGUCUGCUAAGAGUGGGUUGGGGCAGGAACAAUCAGUGCCUUUCUUGUGGGCUUCUUGUUGUUGGAUUUUGCUCCACAGGUUGGAGGACAAGUCCCAGUCCUCCUAACUAGGCCUUUAGAGUCUGGGUGGUGUGGAUGCUCGCUGCAGGCUUGGAGGCUAGAAAGCAAGGACCUCCCUGCCUCAUGUGGUCAGGGGAGGCAGGAGUAAAGCCGGUGUGAAGGUGCAGGAGUUGGAAGGAAGUUGGAAAUCAGCUCCUUGAGGCCCUUCACUCUGAGAGUCACAAAGGAAAAAGAGAUGUCUCCUCACUGCAAGCAAAAUGGAACCUCCUUCCUGCACAUGAAGCCCUUCCUCACUGCAGGUUAUUCCAAAGGAGAGGAAGAAACAUGACCUCCACAUACCAUCCAAGGAAAUAAGCGUGUUUAAAGAAGAUGAGCGCACCUGCACAUGUGGGACGUGUCUGCUGCUUAAACAGUUCUUCGUGAGUGAAAGAAGGUGCACGAAAGAGAGAACGCCGGCACCUCCUCCUAGCACUCAGAUCCCCAUUCCUGCUGCUGCCGUGUGUGAAGCCGCAGCAUCCUCACCAGGGCCAUACAGGGAACAAAUGCAAACUACCCAUAGACCCUUUGCUGUAUUCAAAACACAUCAUAAAUAAGGCGAUGUUUGAAGAUGAGAAGGACUUAAAAGGAGCGGUGUGUUCUCCUGGCCUGUUGGUUUGAGUGCCUGAAAGUGGACCUUGGCUAGAGCCCCAGGUUCGGAAGACAUUCUUAGCAAACCUCUUUAAAGUGAGGAUGUGAACACAUGGGCAAGGGAAGCCUCCAUGGAGAGCAAGCAGCUCCUGCAGUGGAAGGUUGAUCACUUGCACAGAGGGAAGGAACCGUGGAUUCCAUCAUAUGACACUUGAACCAUCUUUUGUGUUUCCAGAAUCAUUAAAAAUAGAUGGGAACCUCCAUGUAUGAAGUAGAUGAAGUCUUCCAGAGAAGAUUGGUAAAGUAUUUGUUUUGACAAAUCACCUUGCAAGUGAUGUGAAAGCAGUUUGGAGAAAAUGUCCUCAUCUCAUUCUGCAUCAGAGUGUGCAUCUCGUAGCCUAAAUCUGUUGAUGACAUU